rnacentral:rRNA from 1 species
GACGGAAGGUGCAAGCGUUGCUCGGAAUCACUGGGCGUAAAGGGUGCGUAGGCGGCCGUGCAAGUCUGGCGUGAAAGCCCCGGGCUCAGCCCGGGAAGUGCGCUCGAAACUGCGCGGUUCGAGUGCCGGAGGGGAGAGUGGAAUUCCUGGUGUAGCGGUGAAAUGCGUAGAUAUCAGGAGGAAUACCGGUGGCGAAAGCGACUCUCUGGACGGCAACUGACGCUGAGGCACGAAAGCGUGGGGAGCGAACAGG